CUUCCUCUGAAAAUUUACAAGUCCUCCAGCAGAAAGGAAACUACAGGUACUCCUUCUGAUUCACAAGGAGGAUAUGGUUAAGUUCACGUCUUUUAAAGGAAGUGGCGAAUUUUAGAAAUGCAAAAUAAUUAUUUUUGAAUGCAGUUUGGCUGGCACACCCCUCUGGAUGCAGCAAGACCUCACAGUCUGCCACAGCCAGAGUCAAAUGAGCCCUGAAGCUGCGGGGAAACCUCCGGGGCAAGAGGCACAAGUCGGCUGACUUGGGAAAUUCAAACCGAAAUCUGACACCUACUCUUUUCGCUCUUGCGUGUUUGCAAAAAGGCCACCUCCAACCCCAGCCUGCUGUCUCGCUGAUUUUUAUUUUAUGAAUACAAAACACGGAAAUACAAUGAUCACGACCUACGCCCAAAGCGCCGACCAGGAGCUAAACCCACCACAAGCUUGUUUCCAAAGUGGACACGUCGGCUUCAGACAAGCCAGUGGUGCUACUUCCUUGGUGCGCGCACAGCCGUCGAUGCGCGUUCACACGACGACGACGCCGCCCCAGCUACACCGGCGGCCCGCUUUCGAGUCGAGCUUUUUUUUUAAAAAAAGCCCUCCCCCCGGGCCUUUCUCGACCUGCCGGGAAUGAGGCGGACAGACGGAGAAGAGAAAGAGAACGGACAGAAAGAGAGAAAAAAGGGGGAAUAAACUUGGUCGAAGAGAAGCCUACAGGUUCAGGGACCUGCCAGAGUGCGAAAGGAGCUUUAUUUUUCCCCCUUGGAGUGCAAGCCCGAGGAUGAGUCACAAGUCAGUCCGAGGCGGGCAAAAUUAAAGGAAAAAGAUGAUGUGAAAAGGACAAAAACACGGUGGCACUUUAAAGACAAAUGCCUCCGCCUCUAAAGUGUCAUAAGAUCGCGUCUUUUAUUUCCCCUUGAAUUUUGCCAGAAAGCUGAAACAGAAGACUGAGGGGAAAUGGGUUGCCAUUUGAACUUCUUGUGGAGCGAUAUAGGGUGCAAUCUGUUUCCUAAAGAUCACAGGAUGUAGUACAGGGAAAUGCUCUCCAGCCUAACCCUGUUCCAUACUCAAGCUGGAGGUUUGGGGUCCAGCUCCACGGUUACCACUUUUGAAGACCAGACUGGAGCGAUUUCCCUGCCAGAGAA